rnacentral:lncRNA from 1 species
UUUCGAUUAAAGCAGCUAGAGAAGGUUUUAAAUCUUUACACCUACCAUCUCUAACAUAAGCCAUUAUACUAGAAUUUAACCCUAACAUAGUUAAAGGUUUAAAGGCUAUUUGGAUUAAUCCAAUAUGAAUAAAAUUAUAUCCCUUAAAAGGAAGUAAAUCUGCUUUACUUAAUAAUUUUAUAGUCUUGGUAUUACCAGUAACUUGAAU